CGCAAAAUCCAAUAAUGAAUUCAAAAGUAGUGUAUAGCGCACUUUUAUUGUAAAUGUACUUCUCAACUUAAACAAUGUAAUCAAAGCAAAUAAAUACAAAACUAAAGAUUAUUGCCACUGCAAGGGCAUAAUGUCAUUCUGUUUGUUAUAUUAAAAAAAACCUGCCCAGAAACGUUUUAGGCUAAGAGGUAUAAUGAAAAUGUCGGGAAGCCAUUUUUAAAGUGGGGGAGAGUGUGACAGGUCAAUUGAGAACAUCGAUGUUUAUUGUUUGGUUAUCGGGGACCCCACAAACACAUUUUUGUUGUACUUGUCAUUUUGAAAUUCUUUAGUUUAUAAUCUUUUGAAUUCAUCUUCAAAGUUGCUAAUGUUAAUGUAUUUUUCUGAACUGCAACAUUAUUCAAGCAGUUGAUGUUGACAUGUUAUUAAUUAAAUGCGCUGCAUAAUCUGCACCACUAGGUGGAGUCUGUGCGUGAGAAACAGUGACAUGCAGGAGUUCAGAGAAGAAGAGUGUUGUUGUUGUGAUGCUCCGGAGUUAGCAAGAAAGCUGUAGUUAUUAUUCAGCAGCUGAAGAGACUCGUAGGCAGAGUGAAUGAAGACCCCUCACUAAAAGUCCAUGUUCUCCUGGAUCCAUGUCACAUGCUCAAGCUUCUUCAGAAUGACAUUUCAACAGUCAAAGUUCUGGUGAGAGAAGAUGGCCAGCAGAUAAGAUGUCAGUACAUCAAGGAGCUCCACAGGCUUCAGGAGGAGGAGGAGGGUUUGCACCUUGGAAGACUGUAUUCAUACUGUUCAAAUAAAAAUAGAUCUCCUCCAAACAA